GCCGAGGUCUCCUAGUCUGGAAGGGAGCAGGCCUGGAGAGCCUGUGCCCAUAAUGGGCUCGGGGGUUCAAAUCCCCCCCUCGGCGCCA
rnacentral:tRNA from 1 species